rnacentral:rRNA from 1 species
UACGUAGGGGGCGAGCGUUGUCCGGAUUUAUUGGGCGUAAAGAGCUCGUAGGCGGUUUGGCAAGUCGGGUGUGAAAACUCCGGGCUCAACUCGGAGACGCCACUCGAUACUGCUAUGACUUGAGUCCGGUAGGGGAGUGCGGAAUUCCUGGUGUAGCGGUGAAAUGCGCAGAUAUCAGGAGGAACACCGGUGGCGAAGGCGGCACUCUGGGCCGGUACUGACGCUGAGGCGCGAAAGCGUGGGGAGCGAACAGG